rnacentral:rRNA from 1 species
AUUGAACGCUGGCGGCAUGCUUUACACAUGCAAGUCGAACGGCAGCGCGGGCUUCGGCCUGGCGGCGAGUGGCGAACGGGUGAGUAAUACAUCGGAACGUGCCCAGUAGUGGGGGAAAGCUCGGCGAAAGCCGGAUUAAUACCGCAUACGACCUGAGGGUGAAAGCGGGGGAUCUUCCGACCUCUCGCUAUUUUGGCGGCCGAUGGCAGUUUAGCUAGUUGGUGGGGUAACGGCCUACCAAGGCGACGAUCUGUAGCUGGUCUGAGGGGACGACCAGCCACACGGGGACUGAGACACGGCCCAGACUCCUACGGGAGGCAGCAGUGGGGAAUUUUGGACAAUGGGCGAAAGCCUGAUCCAGCAAUGCCGCGUGUGUGAUGAAGGCCUUCGGGUUGUAAAGCACUUUUGGCGGGAACGAAAAGGACUGUGCCCAUACCACGGUUCGAUGACGGUACCCGCAGAAUAAGCACCGGCUAACUACGUG